rnacentral:lncRNA from 1 species
GGAUGAUAGUGUUAUUUUGAUGAUUAACAAGCAAUUAUCUAGAGUAUGUUAUAAGUUAAAUUGAUACUUCAUUUAUAAGACUAUUACUCUCAGGAUAUUUGUAUAAAUUGAUAUAGAUACAUUUCAUUGUUUAUUUGAAUGAAUCUAACCUUGAUAUGCAGCAAAGUGUGGAUUGAGUCGACCCAAAGGAUGAUUGGGUCGACUCCGGCACAUCAAGAAAUCAUUUGGCACACUUUUGCAAAAAUGGCACAGAUGAACAGUGAGUUGGGUCGACCCAAGGAAAGCAUGAGUCGACCCAAACAUCAAGAUCC